GAUGAACGCUGGCGGCGUGCCUAAUACAUGCAAGUCGAGCGAAGCGGGGACGGGUGAGUAACACGUGGAUAACCUCCUAUAAGACCGGGAUAACUUCGGGAAACCGAAGCUAACCCGGAUAAUUAUGGAUGGCUCCUCGCUGCAUUAGCUAGUUGUGAAGGUAACGGCUUACCAAGGCAACAAGGCAUAGCCGGCCUGAGAGGGUGAGCGGCUAGCCGGGAACAGAGACACUGGCCAGACUCCUACGCGAGGGAGCAGUGAGGAAUCUUCCGCAAUGGGCGAGAGCCUGACAGAGCAACGCCGCGUGAGUGAUGAAGGUCUGCGGAUCGUAAACCUCUGUUAUUAGGGCAGGGGUACCUAAUCAGAAAGCCCCGGCUAACUACGUGCCAGCAGACGCGGUAAUUC
rnacentral:rRNA from 1 species